rnacentral:rRNA from 1 species
AGGGUUUGAUUAUGGCUCAGGAUGAACGCUAGCUACAGGCUUAACACAUGCAAGUCGAGGGGCAGCGGUAUCGAAAGCUUGCUUUCGGUAGCCGGCGACCGGCGCACGGGUGAGUAACGCGUAUCGAACCUGCCUCAUACUCGGGAAUAGCCUUGCGAAAGUAAGAUUAAUGCCCGGUGUUUUCAGAGUCCCGCAUGAGGCUUUGAACAAAGAUUUAUCGGUAUGAGAUGGCGAUGCGUCCCAUUAGCUUGUUGGCGGGGUAACGGCCCACCAAGGCAUCGAUGGGUAGGGGUUCUGAGAGGAAGGUCCCCCACAUUGGAACUGAGACACGGUCCAA